CCCUAAGCCAGUGACUGGUGUACUGACAAGAAGAGGAAAUUUGGACACAGGCACAUACAGAGAGAAAAUCUUGUGGAAGCUCAGAGAGACGACGGCCACCUACAAGCUGAGGAGAGAGGCCUCUGGAGAAACCAACCUUGUCCACACCUUGAUCUCAGACUUCCAGCUUCCAGACUGUCAGACAAUCACUCUGCUGUCUGGAAGCAGGAAAACAAGAUGGCACAUUCCUAGCAAGGGCCCAGUGUCCCUUCAGUUGACCCUGGUGGAGACCAACCACACCACCUUUGAGGACCCCUCUCCUGGAACAGUGGCUAAAUCGGAACCAUCCCAAAUCAAGGCAGGGCGGCUGUGGAAUGCUCAUUUGAGGCAUUAACAACGUUCAAUUUCCCAGUGCCAGCUCUUCACAUCUCAUUCCUCGAGGAGUCAUUCAAAGUGAAUAAAGAACAAGAAAAGUGGGAGCUGAAGCUACUUUCCUGUUUUUUUCUGAAGCAAAUUCUUACGAGUGAAAACUGGAAGUCCCGCAGAUCAGGAGACGUCAGUCCUCAGCGAGUUCCAGGCAAGGACAGCCCAGGAGAUCUCUGCAUUUCACCCAAGCCAACGGAUCUGCUGUGCCCUUAAGAUCAUAGACGGAGGUGGCGUACAGACUUGUAAGACAUUGAUGUUUCCUUAUCAAAAAAAAAAA
rnacentral:lncRNA from 1 species